AUUAAACACAAGAGAACUGCGUAUUAGUUUUAGGUUGGGGGGACCACGGAGUAUAACUUAACCUCCACAACAAAUGGGCUAACACCCUAAUCCACGAGACACAACUCUAAGAAUUACUAAAAUAAUGCUUAUGACCCGAUAUUCGAUCAAUGAACCAAGUUACCCUGGGGAUAACAGCGCAAUCUACUUCAAGAGCCCAUAUCGACAAGUAGGUUUACGAC
rnacentral:rRNA from 1 species